UGUCCAAUGCGGGAAUCGAACCCGGGUCGUAAUGGUCGAAAACCAAACGGUUUAACCAGCCUGUUGAGAGCUAAGAC